ensembl:lncRNA
GUUUUUUGUCAGUAAAGUCGAGAGAGGGCUUUAUUUCAGCUUCCCUAGGUGCAACAUUGCCUGGGCCUGGUACUUGUUACGCUAAAGACCCUGUAGGAGACCCAUGCCCUUCUGAAUCAUUAGUUGGAUACUCAAAGGAAUGAGUGCCCAGGUGGUACCAGAUACCUGUGUUUAGGCAAACACAUUGAAAUUUCAGACUCUCUGAGCACAAGCAGUACUCUCCUACGCACGCUUAGAUGUUUUAAUCUGCAAGUUGAAUCCCGCUUGAGCAAUCAGUCCCAUACAGCAUCCUUUGAAGCUGCGAAAACCAGGAGCAAGCAAUUCUUUGACCAGCAGCUAACCAGGCCAUGAAGAAAGAAGCUGUGACCCAAUGUGUGGAUUAUUUUCCCUCAUCGUACAGUCAUUUGGAGGCACAUAGCCAGAUUUGCAUUCCACAGGGCUACAAUCCGGUCUGGGAUUUGCCUGCGAGUGUCAACAGAGGGAGCUGAGCUUGUGGCUGUGGAAACCUUUUGUUGGACAGCCACAACCAACCCCACCAGCACCCUGGGACUGCUCCGGAGGUGCCCAGGAGAACACACAGACAUCUCUGCAUGACAAUCCUGCACCAUUCACAGCACUGGGGAACUGCACCGUGUUGUGUGCACCCUG